ACCGAAAUCAUGGGUGUGUCACCCAAGGUGUCGUAACGAAAGGUUGCACAAAUUUUUUUGCUAAAAGCGGUAAAUUUGUUGUGAUUGGGAAAUAAUGAUAUAUCCGUUACUAUCAGUGUCGUCCAAAGCUGGUGCCAGAAGACUCGGUAAGGCCAGAGACGCAAACGUUAGUCGUCAUAAACAGGCGUAAAGGGUUCGUAGGCAUCUUUAACGUUUAGUGGGAAAGUUAACACGUGAACCAUUCCGCCUUGUGAGUACGGCGCAAAGCUGAAAACAAAAAAAUUAG
rnacentral:rRNA from 1 species